rnacentral:rRNA from 1 species
UACAGAGGGUGCAAGCGUUGUUCGGAAUUAUUGGGCGUAAAGGGCGCGUAGGCGGCCACUGCAAGUCGGUUGUGAAAUCUCCGGGCUUAACCCGGAAAGGUCAACCGAUACUGCAGGGCUAGAGUGCAGAAGGGGCAACUGGAAUUCUCGGUGUAGCGGCGAAAUGCGUAGAUAUCGAGAGGAACACCUGCGGCGAAGGCGGGUUGCUGGGCUGACACUGACGCUGAUGCGCGAAAGCUAGGGGAGCGAACGGG